rnacentral:rRNA from 1 species
UACGUAGGUGGCGAGCGGUGUCCGGAUUUACUGGGUGUAAAGGGCGUGUAGGCGGGGAAACAAGUCAGAUGUGAAAUCCCGGGGCUUAACUCCGGAGCUGCAUCUGAAACUGUUUUUCUUGAGUGCUGGAGAGGAAAGUGGAAUUCCCAGUGUAGCGGUGAAAUGCGUAGAGAUUGGGAGGAACACCAGUGGCGAAGGCGGCUUUCUGGACAGUAACUGACGCUGAGGCGCGAAAGCGUGGGGAUCGAACAGG